AACUACGUGCCAGCAGCCGCGGUAAUACGUAGGGUGCGAGCGUUGUCCGGAAUUACUGGGCGUAAAGAGUUCGUAGGCGGUUUGUCGCGUCGUUGAAAACCCGGGGCUCAACUUCGGGCUUGCCAGGCGAUAGGGCAGACUUGAGUGUUUCAGGGGAGACUGGAAUUCCUGGUGUAGCGGUGAAAUGCGCAGAUAUCAGGAACACCGGUGGGCGAAGGCGGGUCUCUGGGAAACAGUC
rnacentral:rRNA from 1 species